GAUGAACGCUAGCGGCAGGCCUAAUACAUGCAAGUCGAGGGGUAGAAGAGGCUUGCUUCUUUGAGACCGGCGCACGGGUGCGUAACGCGUAUGCAACCUACCUUCAUCUGGGGGAUAGCCCGGAGAAAUCCGGAUUAAUACCGCAUAAAAUCACAGGAUGGCAUUAUCCAAUGAUCAAACAUUUAUGGGAUGGAGAUGGGCAUGCGUGUCAUUAGCUAGUUGGCGGGGUAACGGCCCACCAAGGCGACGAUGACUAGGGGAUCUGAGAGGAUGGCCCCCCACACGGGUACUGGAACACGGACCAGACUCCUACGGGAGGCAGCAGUAAGGAAUAUUGGUCAAUGGAGGCAACUCUGAACCAGCCAUGCCGCGUGCAGGAAGACUGCCCUAUGGGUUGUAAACUGCUUUUAUUCGGGAAUAAACCUUAUUACGUGUAAUAAGCUGAAUGUACCGAAGGAAUAAGGAUCGGCUAACUCCGUGCCAGCCGCCGCAGUAA
rnacentral:rRNA from 1 species